rnacentral:rRNA from 1 species
AGAGUUUGAUCCUGGCUCAGGAUGAACGCUGGCGGCGUGCCUAAUACAUGCAAGUCGAGCGAACGGACGAGAAGCUUGCUUCUCUGAUGUUAGCGGCGGACGGGUGAGUAACACGUGGAUAACCUACCUAUAAGACUGGGAUAACUUCGGGAAACCGGAGCUAAUACCGGAUAAUAUUUUGAACCGCAUGGUUCAAAAGUGAAAGACGGUCUUGCUGUCACUUAUAGAUGGAUCCGCGCUGCAUUAGCUAGUUGGUAAGGUAACGGCUUACCAAGGCAACGAUGCAUAGCCGACCUGAGAGGGUGAUCGGCCACACUGGAACUGAGACACGGUCCAGACUCCUACGGGAGGCAGCAGUAGGGGAUCUUCCGCAAUGGGCGAAAGCCUGACGGAGCAACGCCGCGUGAGUGAUGAAGGUCUUCGGAUCGUAAAACUCUGUUAUUAGGGAAGAACAUAUGUGUAAGUAACUGUGCACAUCUUGACGGUACCUAAUCAGAAAGCCACGGCUAACUACGUGCCAGCAGCCGCGGUAAUACGUAGGUGGCAAGCGUUAUCCGGAAUUAUUGGGCGUAAAGCGCGCGUAGGCGGUUUUUUAAGUCUGAUGUGAAAGCCCACGGCUCAACCGUGGAGGGUCAUUGGAAACUGGAAAACUUGAGUGCAGAAGAGGAAAGUGGAAUUCCAUGUGUAGCGGUGAAAUGCGCAGAGAUAUGGAGGAACACCAGUGGCGAAGGCGACUUUCUGGUCUGUAACUGACGCUGAUGUGCGAAAGCGUGGGGAUCAAACAGGAUUAGAUACCCUGGUAGUCCACGCCGUAAACGAUGAGUGCUAAGUGUUAGGGGGUUUCCGCCCCUUAGUGCUGCAGCUAACGCAUUAAGCACUCCGCCUGGGGAGUACGACCGCAAGGUUGAAACUCAAAGGAAUUGACGGGGACCCGCACAAGCGGUGGAGCAUGUGGUUUAAUUCGAAGCAACGCGAAGAACCUUACCAAAUCUUGACAUCCUUUGACAACUCUAGAGAUAGAGCCUUCCCCUUCGGGGGACAAAGUGACAGGUGGUGCAUGGUUGUCGUCAGCUCGUGUCGUGAGAUGUUGGGUUAAGUCCCGCAACGAGCGCAACCCUUAAGCUUAGUUGCCAUCAUUAAGUUGGGCACUCUAAGUUGACUGCCGGUGACAAACCGGAGGAAGGUGGGGAUGACGUCAAAUCAUCAUGCCCCUUAUGAUUUGGGCUACACACGUGCUACAAUGGACAAUACAAAGGGCAGCGAAACCGCGAGGUCAAGCAAAUCCCAUAAAGUUGUUCUCAGUUCUGAUUGUAGUCUGCAACUCGACUACAUGAAGCUGGAAUCGCUAGUAAUCGUAGAUCAGCAUGCUACGGUGAAUACGUUCCCGGGUCUUGUACACACCGCCCGUCACACCACGAGAGUUUGUAACACCCGAAGCCGGUGGAGUAACCUUUUAGGAGCUAGCCGUCGAAGGUGGGACAAAUGAUUGGGGUGAAGUCGUAACAAGGUAGCCGUAUCGGAAGGUGCGGCUGGAUCACCU